rnacentral:rRNA from 1 species
ACUCAAAGGAAUAGACGGGGACCCGCACAAGCGGUGGAGCAUGUGGAUUAAUUCGAUACUAACCGAAGAACCUUACCCAGGUUUGACAUCGAUUGAAAAGCUCAGAGAUGGGCUCCUCCCCCACAAGGGGACAUGAAGACACUUGUUGCAUGGCUGUCGUCAGCUCGUGCCGUGAGGUGUACGGUUAAGUCCGCCAACGAGCGCAACCCUCGUCCUGUGUUACCAGCAAGUAAAGUUGGGGACUCACAGGAGACCGCCGGUGUAAGCCGGAGGAAGGUGAGGAUGACGUCAAGUCAGCAUGGCAGUUACGCCUGGGGCUUCACACAUGCUACAAUGGGCGAAACAGAGGGCAGCAAAACCGCGAGGUGGAGCCAAUCCCAAAAAUACGCCCCCAGUUCAGAUUGCAGUCUGCAACUCGACUGCAUGAAGGCGGAAUCGCUAGUAAACGCAGGUCAGCUAUACUGCGUUGAAUACGUUCCCGGGUCUUGUACACACCGCCCGU